rnacentral:lncRNA from 1 species
AUGUCUUUCUCUCUCUCCUCCUCCCUCCCUCCUUCCCUCCCUCCUUCUCUCUCUCUGUCUCUGUCUCUCCCUCUCUCCUCUUCUCUCUCUGUCUGUCUGUUUCUCUCUGUCUCUCCCCCACCAUGUCUUUCUCUCUCUCCUCCUCCCUCCCUCCUUCCCUCCUUCCCUCUCUCUCUCUCUCUCUUUCCCCCCUCCCUCUCAUGUCUGUCUGUCUCCUCCUCCCUCCCUCCCUCCUCUCUCUCUGUCUCUCUCCCCCCUCUCCUCUUCUCUCUGUCUCCCUUUCUCCUCUUCUCUCUCUGUCUCUCUGUUUUGCUCUGCCUCUCCCUGCCAUGUCUUUCUCUCUCCUCCUCCCUCCCUCCUUCCCUCCCUCCUCUCUCUCUGUCUCUUUCCCCUCUCCUCUUCUCUGUCUGUCUCUCUGUUUCUCUCUGUCUCUCCCCCCAUGUCUUUCUCUCUCUCCUCCUCCCUCCCUCCUCCCCUCCCUCUCUCUCUCUCUCCCCCCUCCCCCUCAUGUCUGUCUCUCCUCCUUCCUCCCUCCCUCCUCUCUCUGUCUCUCUCCCUCUCUCCUCUUCUCUCUCUGUCUCUCCCCGCCAUGUCUUUCUCUCUCCUCCUCCCUCCCUCCUCCUCCCUCCUCUCUCUCUGUCUCUCUUCCCCCUCUGCUCUCCUCUCUCCUCUCCUCUUCUCUGUCUGUCUCUGUUUCUCUCUCUCUCCCCCCCAUGUCUUUCUCUGUCUCCUCCUCCCUCCCUCCUCCCCUUCCUCUCUCUCUCUCUCUCUCUCUCUGUCUCUCUCUCCCUCUCUCCUCUUCUCUCUCUGUCUCUCCCCGCCAUGUCUUUCUCUCCCCUCCUUCCUCCCUCCUUCCCUCACUCCUCUCUCUCUGUCUCUCUUCCCCCUCUCCUCUUCUCUCUCCCUCUCUCCUCUUCUCUGUCUGUCUCUCUGUUUCUCUCUGUCUCUCCCCCCAUGUCUUUCUGUGUCUCCUUCUCCCUCCCUCCUCCCCCCCCAUCUCUCUCUCUGUCUCUGUCUCUGUGUCUCUCUCUCUCUCUCUAG